CCCACUUUCCAGGAGACAAAAAUCCAAAAUCUUAAUAUCUAUUAUACAACCUAAACAUUAAUAUUAUAUGUUAAUAUUAAUAUACAUAUUGCUUUGGAGCAGUAUCUCUCAACCUAUGGGUCUCAACCAUAGGGGUUGGGGUUGAACAACCCUUUCAGAGGGUUCAUCUAAGAACAUUGGAAUACACAGAUAUUUACAUUUAAGUGCAUAAGAGUAGCACAAUUAGAAUUAUAAAGUAGCACAAUGAGGAACUGUAUCAAAGGCUUGCACUUUAGGAAGGUUGAGAACCACUGCUCUAGAGGGUGAGAACUUGCCAAUACUGAACAUAUAUAAGUAAUAAUUACACCUGAAGCUCUGUCUUCAACUGUUGACUUAUGUCUUCAGGAUUCUCUUGACUGACAAGAGCGUAUUAACAAGAGACAUGCCAAAGCAUUUUGUUCUUUGUUUGGUUUUGGUUUCAUCUUGCAUGUUUAAAAAUAUUCUUUAUGAAUGAGCAAAAAGCAUGCUCAUUUGAUCUUGCGGGUUUUUUUUAGAUCUUUGUUUUGUAAAAUUAGCAGUCAGUCAGAUUCAUAAAAGAAAACUAGACAGACUAUAUAAAAUAAUCAAGAAAUCAAAAGUUAUGAAAAUAAAAGUAUAUGUGCUUCAAAAUGAAGAACAACUGUUAUAUACUCCAGUAUACUUUGUAUUCAGUUGCUUUCCUUUAGAUUUUCUAAGAUUUUGAUUCAGUUUAGUUUGAUUGUUUAGCAAUGAUGACUUGAGAAGGAGUCGUAGAAAGGGAGCUAAGACUUCCCUUAAAGCAUCAAGAAAUUAGUACAGUGGGUACAAGCAGAUCAGUUCUACUCAUCUGAAGGUUACACUUAAAGUAAUUACUGUAAAUGCAUGAGAUAUCGGGGUGCAUAAGAUAUGCAUAUAAUGUUCAGAUAUGUCAUAUAAUGCUCCUUUGUGACAAACAUUUGGCUCAGCCCUAAAUGAAGUUAGCCCACAAAAUUCUCGCUGGGAAUUAAUGAAAUAAUCUUCACAGUAUAGUAAACAAUGGCUGACCAUAUUAAACAAUUGGCAAAUGUGAAUGCUGAGCAUUUUUCUUCAUAAAGUAUAAACUCUUCACUUAUCUGUUUUCAAAUAUUGGCCCAAGUAUCACCCAAAAUAGGUUAUUAAAAGGACACAUUCUGUAGAAUUCUAGACACCAGUACCACUGUUUAGCGAGGAGCAGGUAGAAUUAUUUGUGGGUGCAUUGGAUUCACUGCCCAUCAAUUUCAAUACCACUAUAGCUCCACUUUGAGUUGCAUUACCGACUCUCUCUUUUCACCCAGAACUCCUCAUUAAACCGAUGAUGUCACUAUGCCCAUUUUAGUGUCUUCAUGGAAAUUGGAGCGCACACUAGCACCUCUAACCCUCCAAAUGCAUUUCACUGAUCAACGCCAUUCAUGCCACUCCAGAGCUUGCCAGAGAUACCAGCUCACAAUUGGUGCAUUGGGAACCAUUUAGAGAUCCUAGCGUGGUGGCGCAUGGGCACAGCCAGCAAUGAGGCAGCUGAAGCCAAAGGAUUUCCAGUCUGAAGACAGGCUAGGGUGCAUACGUAGACUCUGUUGCAAAACCAUUAAGAGAAAAACAAAAAUGUAUAUUUGUAAGAUCUGUGAUUCAUUUCAUAAAAAUAGUUUGAUUCAUAUAAGUGACUGUGUAAGAUUAUUGCAAUACUUAGUAAACAGUAGUAAUUGGUUAUGAUGAUGGCAAUGAUAAUAUUUUAAAAUUUUUGCCUAGUUGCUAAGUAACCAUCAAAAGCAUGUGCCAAGGUCCAGAGAGAUGGCUCAGUAGGUAAAAGUACUUGAGUUUGACCCUGAAUGACCCACAUGACAGAAGGAAGAAUCAAUUUUCAAAAGUUGUCUGCUGGACUCCAAAAUCUACAUGUUCACACAGACACACACAAACACACACAUACACACACACACACACAAACACACACAUACACACAAACGGGAAAGAGCGAGCAGAGAAUAUAAUAACAAAAGUAGAUACUAAGUUGUUAGGUUCAAAGUAAACCCCGUGCACUCUAAAAGGACAGUCCAACUGACUUUAUCCAAAAUGACAAUUUGAAUUCAAUGGGGGGGUGAAGUCGGAUGUUCAUCAGUAUACAUGUUGCUUUUAUGAAUAAAUAAUGAAUAAAUAAAGGUGCUUUGGCCUCUGGCAAGGCAGAAUAUAGCCAGGCUGGAAGAGAUAUACAGAGAGAGUAUGCAGAGUCAAGAAGAUGCCAUGUAGCUGGCAAAGAAGACAGAUGCCCCAGAACCUUACCAGCAGGCCACAGCCUUGUGGGGGAUACAUAGAUGAAUAGAAAUGGGUUAAUUUAAGAUUCGGUGUUAGUGAAUAAGAAGCCUUAGCUAAACAGUGUUGUAAUUGAUACAGUUUCUAUGUGAUUAUGGAUCUGAGCUGCUGGGAAAUGGAUUGAGCAGUCUCCAUUUACACUGGGGCUGGACGAUGCAGGAAAAUCGGGAUUGCUGGUGGAUACAUUCAGAAUUCCUUAGGACCCUGCGAAAUGAGCGUUGUAUGUACAAGUAACACCCACUUCUCUUUCCCCUCUCUUUGGCAGAUGAGGACUAUGGCUUCCUAUUGACAUACACCUGUGGUGCAUACCAAAGCCAGUGCUAACCUCCAGGCUCCUCUGCUCCCUAGAAACAUUAAUAUCCAAGUCCUGACACCCUGAAUGCCCAGGAUGCUCCAGUUCCCAAGAUAUUCUGCCAAGACCUGCAGCUUCAGAACUAAAUGACACUUGAAAGAUAAAUUUGGAUUACUGUGUCUUUUAGAUACCAUGACCUGGGAACAAAGAUUUGGAAACAAACCCCAAUUGAUGUUUCAAUGUGGGAGCCGUUUCAUGAGGUUUUAUAGCUCUACAGAGCAAAGAAAAUCAUAAAUCAAGGCAAGUUUAAAAUACAUUGGUGUCUUGGAGAAAAAGACGCUGGGAAAGAGAUCCAUGGCGCUGUCUAGCAUAUUAUAAAACUUUCUAUUACUUAGACACAACAUUUUUUGAGCAAAUAAUUAAAAUUGUUGCUGUAUGUAUACUUAGAAGCACCCUCCAAAAUUCAGAAUACUUAAGGAAAGCACACGCUGCCAAGUUGUAUGCCUUCAAUUCAGACUCUGGGACCCAAAUGAUAGAAGAAGAAAAAUCACCUCCUUGUGAGUAUUUGCUAAAGGAAACCCUACUCCAUGCUCAAGAGGUAUUGACUGAUGACACCUUGGGGAGUGGGAUGGCCAGUUAUCCUCAGGAAGACGGUUGCUGAGAGACUGACUGCUCACGGCCCAGGGUACCAGAGUCACAUACCAAAAACCCACAAAUAGCUGGCAACGGUCUCCAGUCCCAGGGAGAUCAAUACCUUCUUCUGGCCUCUGUUGGUACCAAACACUCAUGUGGAUGGAGAGCAUGGCGGCAUGCAAGAAGAUGUGGUGCUGAAGAUGAGAGUCUCAUACAUCUUGACUCAGAGGCAAUAGGAAGUAGACUAAGCAUAAUGCUGAAUGAAGCUCUAGAAAACAGACCUCUAAGCCCACCUACACAGUGACACACUUCCUCCAACAAAUCCACACCUUCUAAUAGUACCACUCCCAGUGGGGACAUUUUCUUUCAAACCAUGACAGAACCUUCAUCUGGCGACGGAUGGAGAUAGAGAGAGACCCACAUUGGAGCACCAGAAUGAGCUCCCAAGGUCCCAAUGAGGAGCAGAAGGAGGCAGAACAUGAGCAAGGAAGUCAGGACCGCGAGGGGUGCACCCACCCACGGAGACAGUGGGGCUGAUCUAUUGGGAGCUCACCAAGGCCAGCUGGACUGGGACUGAAAAAGCAUGGGAUAAAACCGGACUCUCUGAACAUGGCGGACAAUGAGGGCUGAUGAGAAGCCAAGGACAAUGGCACUGGAUUUUGAUCCUCCUUCAUGUUCUGGCUUUGUGGGAGCCUAUCCAGUUUAGAUGCUCACCUUCCUAGACCUGAAUGGAGGGGGGGAAGACCUUGGACUUUCCACAGGGCAGGGAACCCUGACUGCUCUUCGGACAGGAGAGGGAGAGGGACAGGAGUGGGAGGAGAGUGAGGGAAAUGGGAGUCUGGGAAAAUGCAGAAUUUUUUUUCAAUAAAAAAGUAAUGAAUAAAAAUAAAAAAUAUAAAAGAGAGACUUGUGAGUUUUAAAAGAUACUUCAUGAAUUUAAAGUUGUAUUACAUCUUAUUAAAUAAACAUGAGGCUUUGGGGACAAGAGAAAGAAGGUUAUGAUUUAGAAGUUAUGUAUUUGAGUGUUAGGUUGACAAAGAGUGGAGUGUAUAGUUUUCCAAUUUUAUAUAACCCAGCUUCACCUGGGAAGGUAAUCUCAAUGAGAGAUUGCAUACAGUUGGUCUUCCUAUGGACAUUUCUGUGGGAUUUUGUCUUCUUUAGUUUUUUUGGGAAGACUUGCCACACUGUAGAUUGCACUAUUCCUUAAGGAAGAGUCUUGAUUUGUAUCUGAGUGGAGAAAUUGAGAUGAAACAAAACUAAACAAUAAACGUUCAUGUAUUCUUUUCUUUCUGCUUUUGACUAUGUAUGUGAUGUAACAUGUAAAUUCUGGUCAGUAACCUUGAAUUAACCCCUUCAGUUUAAACUGCUCUUUGUUAGGAUAUUUGAUCACAGCAAAACAGAAAUGAAAAUAAAACAAUGGAUGUUA